CACGUAGGGGGCGAGCGUUGUCCGGAUUUAUUGGGCGUAAAGGGCUCGUAGGCGGCUCAGUAAGUCGGGUGUGAAACCUCCAGGCUCAACCUGGAGACGCCACUCGAUACUGCUGUGGCUAGAGUCCGGUAGGGGAGCAUGGAAUUCCUGGUGUAGCGGUGAAAUGCGCAGAUAUCAGGAAGAACACCCGUGGCGAAGGCGGCUCUCUGGAACGCAACUGACGCUGAGACGCGAAAGCGUGGGGAGCAAACAGG
rnacentral:rRNA from 1 species